GAUUCCUACCACGGUAUGCGUUCUUAGUUCUCUUGAGGAUGGUGUGGGACUUCAUUGGCCACUUUUCCCACCGCCACCACCCCCGUGGGGAGACUACUGGCUUUUGUAUUUAGCAUUUACUCCUCAGUUGCUCUCCCCUACCUGGAAGUUGCUAUGGGCAAUCACUGGUGGAACGACACAGCUGAAACUUGUUCUCUAAAAGGCAGCCUGUAAAUCUGGCAUGACACAUGCAAGGGGCUUUCUUCGUAGUAAACACUCUUAGCGUUUCCUUGCGGUGUCUCUGAAGUGCCGCUUACACGGCGCUCAUGCAAUAUCACCUUUUGCAGGCUGGCGUCCUUAGCUCACACUGUGGCAAACCUGAUGGGACACCUUGGGCUAGGCAAUUUGCACAGCCGUAAAGCCGCACACUCACACAGCUAGAGCUAAACGGAAACACAUGCAAAAACUGUCACGAAUCAGCUUCUCUUCUUUCAUGGUCACUAUUCUGUACGUCUUCUAGGUGCUGGAAAAAAUCAGCCAACUUUUGGAGACAGACUCCCUUACCAAGAUCCAAGAAUGGUUUGGAAGGGCAAGUAAACAAGAGAAAGACUUUGUGUUCAGUCUGGUGGAUUGAGAACUGACUGAGAAAGACGUGCUGAAAUCUGAGGAAGGUGCAGCAGAGAACAUCAACAGCCCGACUGCUGAAGCCUCUCCCCCCACAUCGGAGAAGCCUAGACGGGGAAAUGACUCCGGCCACGUAAAACCUGCAGGGAGGUUGCCACAAUGAUGGAUAAGCUAAACCCCACAACCAGAAAUUUUUGGGUUCUCCUGCUAUGGAAAAGGUAACUUUGUGAUUGAAGUUGAUCACGGCCAGCCUUCGGCAAAAAUGCUCCUAAGUACAAGCCACACCAGGCGAUUUGAUACAAGUUUGAUACAAGUACCAAGUUUUAGCAGCACUGGAAACCCCUUGGAGAGCAACCUCCUUUUACAUUGCGGUGCACAGUUUAUACCUACAAAGAUCACAGGGGACUGGACCAUCUCCCUUAUGAGGACAGGCUGACAGAGAUGCACCUGUGUAGCCUGGGGAAGAGUGAGAGUGCAUCUCCUCAGUGCAUAUAAAUAUCUUAAGGGCAAGUGUCAAGAGGAUGGGGCCAGGCUCUUUUCAGUGGUGCCCAGCGUCAGGACAAGGGGCGACGGGCGCCAACUGAAACACAGGAAAUUCCAUCCGAGUGUGAGGGAAAACGUCUUCACUUGGAGGGUGUCGGAGCCCUGGCACAGGCUGCCCAGAGAGGCUGUGCAGUCUCCUUCCCUGGAGAUACUCAAACCCCACCUGGACGCGACCCUGUGCAACCCGCUCUAGGCAAACCGGCUUUAGCAGGGGGUUGCACGACAUGGCCUGCACAGGUCCCUUCCAACCCCAGCCGUUCUGUGAGCCUGUGACAUUCUGAGAUCUGCUCCUGUAAGUUACACGCAAGCUGCAACCCCCUCUGCCAGCAAACUAUGGCAUUCGCCCUCAUCUAACAUCUCGCCCUCGCUCUCUGCAGGCUACGUCAGGCUUUCUCAGACCGUUCCAGCUACCAAAGCCCACUCUUGCACCCUCUACCCAGUCAGGGCAAGCCAAAAAUAGUGGCGCUGCCAAGGAACGCCACUGUCACCUCUUUGUGCCCCUUCUGAAGCACACAGAGGCAACACAAGCCAGUCCCAGCGUACGUGAUCAUUUUAACAAAGCCACUCAUGCCAGCUCUGACGCUGCCAGCAUUUACUAUUGCUUGGAACUCAGCUGGAGGAGAGGGUGAAGAGUAAUCUUACCUAAGAACUAGAAGGAGGAAGAGGAAACCUCCAAAGCAAGCACCUCUGCUUUUCCACAGUGGUGCCCAGUGAGGCUUCUUUGCCAAAGAGCAGAUGUGCUUCUAUACUCUCAGCUGCGUACCGAACAAAGCCAAACGAGUCUAACAUCAUCCUAAGCCUAGCCUGGUAAUAUACAGCUUGCUUUUCCAAAAUGUCUUCCAGAAAGGGAGAAAGAACAUCUUUUGUUUGCAACGCUGAGAAAGAGAGGUCCAGCACAAGCAGACACGCUCUUCCCAGGGAAGAGCUACAGCUGAGAAAGUGUGGUGGAAACAAGAGGCCGUCCUGCCCUCACGCUCUACCAGAAAUCUCACCUGUACCACGGCUGCCCCCAAACCACGGAUAUCCCUUUUCCAGCAGAGGCCUCCCCUAUUCACAGCCGCUGCAGCAUCUCCCAGCCACCUUCACAUACAGAAAUAUGUGAUCUGAGCACUUAGAUUAUAAAGACAGGCGUUCAGACUUCCUAAUAAAACAAUUUGAUGUUCAUUGUA